GAUCAGGAUUUUGAGGUUGGAGAGCUAGCUUCAAGUUCCUCCAAAAGGUGUAGAAUUAGAUUUUCAUAGGAUUUGGGAGAACUUUUUCAAUCAUUGCUGAAAGUCAGUGUUUGUAUUGGUGAUUGGGUUUGUUUUGCAAUAAAAUAAUGGCUGGUACUCUUGACUGUUUUGUGAAAUUGGAGAAACUUCUGUGGUUGAAAUUUAAGGGUGUCUAGAGGGUUGAGUAUGUUGAGUGU
rnacentral:lncRNA from 1 species